AUUGAACGCUGGCGGCAUGCCUUACACAUGCAAGUCGAACGGCAGCACGGGAGCAAUCCUGGUGGCGAGUGGCGAACGGGUGAGUAAUAUAUCGGAACAUGCCCAGUCGUGGGGGAUAACGUAGCGAAAGCUACGCUAAUACCGCAUACGAUCUAUGGAUGAAAGCGGGGGAUCGCAAGACCUCGCGCGAUUGGAGCGGCCGAUAUCAGAUUAGGUAGUUGGUGAGGUAAAGGCUCACCAAGCCGACGAUCUGUAGCUGGUCUGAGAGGACGACCAGCCACACUGGGACUGAGACACGGCCCAGACUCCUACGGGAGGCAGCAGUGGGGGAAUUUUUGGGACAAUGGGCGCAAGCCUGAUCCAGCAAUGCCGCGUGCAGGAUGAAGGCCUCGG
rnacentral:rRNA from 1 species